rnacentral:lncRNA from 1 species
GUGUCUAUAUUUACCACACGAGAAGCAUACCUCAAGUAAAGCCUCAAAUUCCAUACGUUGCAGUCGUCCAUUAACAAGAAUUUGGGAAGUGAGGGGUUUUCUUAAAUCAACAAAGACAGCCAUUCUGGCGAAUUGUCCUCUUUCGCGGUUGUUGGUUUUGAUGUCAAAUUUCACAACUCUUCCGACCAAGCUACCAAUCUCCUCUAAGAUCUUCUUUUGAUACAGGAACCCCGAUAAGCCUGGGAAUCGGAUCCAAGCAAGCACACUGUAGGGAAAGGGUCUUGAUAGGUCA